rnacentral:tRNA from 1 species
GCUUCCAUAGCUCAGUUCGGUAGAGCACUUCCAUGGUAAGGAAGGGGUCAGCGGUUCAAGUCCGCUUGGAAGCUCCA